rnacentral:rRNA from 1 species
CCUACGGGUGGCUGCAGUGAGGAAUAUUGGUCAAUGGUCGGGAGACUGAACCAGCCAAGCCGCGUGAGGGAGGAAGGUACAGAGUAUCGUAAACCUCUUUUGUCAGGGAACAAAGACUGGGACGCGUCCCCGGAUGAGUGUACCCUGAGAAAAAGCAUCGGCUAACUCCGUGCCAGCAGCCGCGGUAAUACGGAGGAUGCGAGCGUUAUCCGGAUUUAUUGGGUUUAAAGGGUGCGUAGGCGGACGCUUAAGUCAGCGGUACACUUGCGGGGCUCAACCUCGUCGAGCCGUUGAAACUGGGUGCCUUGAGUGGGCGAGAGGUACGCGGAAUGCGUGGUGUAGCGGUGAAAUGCGUAGAUAUCACGCAGAACUCCGAUUGCGAAGGCAGCGUACCGGCGGCCGACUGACGCUGAAGCACGAAGGCGUGGGUAUCGAACAGGAUUAGAUACCCCAGUAGUC